AACGGGUGAUAAAUACAUCGGAACGUACCUGCCGUGGGGGAUACUACGAAAGGUUGGCUAAUACCGCAUACGACCUGAGGGUGAAGCGGGGACGCAAGGCCUCGCGCGAUAGAGCGGCCGAUGUCCGAUUACUAUUGGUAGGUAAAGGCCUACCAAGGCGACGAUCGGUACUGGUCUGAAGGAUGAUCACCACACUGGGACUGAACACGGCCCAACUCCUACGGAGCAAUGGGGAAUUUUGGACAAUGGGGGCAACCCUGAUCCAGCCAUUCCGCGUGAGUGAAGAAGGCCUUCGGGUUGUAAAGCUCUUUCGGCAGGAACGAAACGGUCUCUCUAACAUAGGGGGCUAAUGACGGUACCUGAAGAAGAAGCACCGGCUAACUACGUGCCAGCAGCCGCGGUAAUACGUAGGUGCGAGCGUUAAUCGGAAUUACUGGGCGUAAAGCGUGCGCAGGCGGUUUUGUAAGACAGAUGUGAAAUCCCCGGGCUUAACCUGGGAAAUUGCGUUUGUGACUGCAAGACUGGAGUGCGGCACGAGGGGGGUGGAAUUCCACGUGUAGCAAGCGAAAUGCGUAAAAGAUGUGGAGGAACACCGGAUGG
rnacentral:rRNA from 1 species